UGGCUACCCGACAGGAUCUCACAAAUAAUGGGGUCAUAACGCCUUACCUGGAAAGGGAUUCCAACAGGACAAAUAACAUUUAGAAGCUUUUAACAGAGCGCCUGCCCCUUGGCAAACAGACCGUGGCCCAGCACCAGGUGUGCUGGGAGUGAGCUCACCAGGGGCAGGUGGUGACAGUGGAAGGCUCUCCUGAGUGCCUGCCUGGCCUCUCUAGCACUUCACUCACUGCUGGGGACCAGAGCACUAAGAUGAAGAAGCACCUUCACAGAGCAGAGAAAACAGCAUCAUUAUAGAGGCAUACAAGUAGCAGUUGCUUCACCAGGAAUGAGGCAGUGAAC